CCUACGGGAGGCAGCAGUGGGGAAUAUUGCACAAUGGGGGAAACCCUGAUGCAGCGACGCCGCGUGAAGGAAGAAGUAUUUCGGUAUGUAACCUUCUAUCAGCAGGGAAGAAAAUGACGGUACCUGACUACGAAGCCCCGGCUAACUACGUGCCAGCAGCCGCGGUAAUACGGAGGGGGCAAGCGUUAUCCGGAUUUACUGGGGGGAAAGGGAGCGUAGGCGGCGAUGCAAGUCAGAAGUGAAAGCCCGGGGCUCAACUCCGGGACUGCUUUUGAAACUGUUUUGCUAGAUGGCAGGAGAGGUAAGUGGAAUUCCUAGUGUAGCGGGGAAAUGCGUAGAUAUUAGGAGGAACACCAGUGGCGAAGGCGGCUUACUGGACUGUAAAUGACGCUGAGGCUCGAAAGCGUGGGGAGCAAACAGGAUUAGAUACCCUUGUAGUC
rnacentral:rRNA from 1 species